rnacentral:rRNA from 1 species
AACUUAAGCAUAUCAAUAAGCGGAGGAAAAGAAACCAACAGGGAUUGCCCUAGUAACGGCGAGUGAAGCGGCAACAGCUCAAAUUUGAAAUCUGGCCUUCGGGUCCGAGUUGUAAUUUGCAGAGGAUGCUUUUGGCGCGGUGCCUUCCGAGUUCCCUGGAACGGGACGCCUUAGAGGGUGAGAGCCCCGUACGGUUGGACACCAAGCCUCUGUAAAGCUCCUUCGACGAGUCGAGUAGUUUGGGAAUGCUGCUCUAAAUGGGAGGUAAAUUUCUUCUAAAGCUAAAUACCGGCCAGAGACCGAUAGCGCACAAGUAGAGUGAUCGAAAGAUGAAAAGCACUUUGAAAAGAGGGUUAAAUAGCACGUGAAAUUGUUGAAAGGGAAGCGUUUACGGCCAGACCUUUUCCUGGCGGAUCAUCUGGUGUUCUCACCAGUGCACUUCGCCAGGUUUAGGCCAGCAUCGGCUUCCGUAGGGGGAUAAAAGCAGUGGGAAAGUAGCUCCCUCGGGAGUGUUAUAGCCCUAAGCAUAAUACCCUUACGGGGGCCGAGGACCGCGCU